rnacentral:rRNA from 1 species
UACGUAGGGUGCGAGCGUUAAUCGGAAUUACUGGGCGUAAAGGGUGCGCAGGCGGUUAUAUAAAGACAGAUGUGAAAUCCCCGGGCUCAACCUGGGAACUGCGUUUGUGACUGUAUGACUAGAGUACGGUAGAGAGGGGUGGAAUUCCUGGUGUAGCAGUGAAAUGCGUAGAUAUCAGGAGGAACAUCGAUGGCGAAGGCAGCCCCCUUGGACCUGUACUGACGCUCAUGCACGAAAGCGUA